rnacentral:rRNA from 1 species
UACGGAGGGGACUAGCGUUGUUCGGAAUUACUGGGCGUAAAGCGCACGUAGGCGGAUUUGUAAGUCAGGGGUGAAAUCCCGGGGCUCAACCUCGGAACUGCCUUUGAUACUGCAAAUCUUGAGUCCGGAAGAGGUGAGUGGAAUUCCUAGUGUAGAGGUGAAAUUCGUAGAUAUUAGGAAGAACACCAGUGGCGAAGGCGGCUCACUGGUCCGGUACUGACGCUGAGGUGCGAAAGCGUGGGGAG